rnacentral:snRNA from 1 species
GGAUGUGAGGGCGAUCUGGCUGCGACAUCUGUCACCCCAUUGAUCGCCAGGGUUGAUUCGGCUGAUCUGGCUGGCUAGGCGGGUGUCCCCCUCCUCCCUCACUGAUCCAUGUGCGUCCCUCCCAAAGCUGCGUGCUCGGUUGCUUCUUCCCCCCAGAGGAGAGGACUGGUCUUCAGUCAAGGGUAUACGAGUAGCUGC